CAGCCGCCGCGGGAAUACGUAGGUGGCAAGCGUUGUCCGGAAUUAUUGGGCGUAAAGGGCUCGCAGGCGGUUUCUUAAGUCUGAUGUGAAAGCCCCCGGCUCAACCGGGGAGGGUCAUUGGAAACUGGGAAACUUGAGUGCAGAAGAGGAGAGUGGAAUUCCACGUGUAGCGGUGAAAUGCGUAGAGAUGUGGAGGAACACCAGUGGCGAAGGCGACUCUCUGGUCUGUAACUGACGCUAAGGAGCGAAAGCGUGGGGAGCGAACAGGAUUAGAUACCCCAGUAGUCCCUGUCUCUUAUAC
rnacentral:rRNA from 1 species